CUUAUCUAACAAUGCUCAGAAGCGCUAGCUUUAAGCUGAAGGAUUGCGUAUAUGGUGUUCGUAAUACGUAGCGGAAGACAAUAACAAUUCUAGGUAGAUUUUUCGUGUUUUCAAAUUUAUUUACGUGUCAAAGAUCGGGUCUAAGACGUACCCGGUGAAGAGAGUUUCUUUUUCAGAAUUUCUUCGAUAGUGCGAAGACUCUAUGCGUAUCCACACCGAAACCGAUCCUUGCUAUCAACUCUUUGAU
rnacentral:lncRNA from 1 species